UUUCUGUGUAUUCAUUUGGGCCUAACUCGGGCAGGCGGCUGGCGUAAAGCUCACAUGUAGCGGUGGAGCUCAGGUGGCUUUUGGUGGAAAGAUUUAUCGUAAUAAAUAGUGGUUUCUCUUCAAUUAAUACUAACAGAGUAGUUCUGCUUCUUGUUAUCAAAAUGAUUAAAUACAAAACACCAGAGUAGUUUUGGCAUGAUUCCAACUAUUUUUGUUCUGUUUCUUUGGUUGUGUUAUAUUUGAAGAAAGAAAAUGCUUACUCAUAUUUCAUCUGAUGUGUUAUAGCCACCUAGUAUUUUGAAAAUGUCAAAAAUCUCCUCUUUGGCCAUUCUAAUAUUCUUAACUAUAUGGUAUAUUCUGGUAAUACUUUGAUGUCUGACUUUAUAGAGUAAGAACAAAUGUUCUCAAUUCAUUUAAAUUUUUUAUUCUCAUGUCUGGAAAAAUAAUUUUUUGGGAACUCUCUACUUCCCAGAAUUCAGAAAAAGCUCAUUAAGAUUUUGGUCUCUUGAAUAAAGAAUUAAUAACAAAUUGAAAUUAGGUAGGCUCCAGUGAUCUAUAUUUUGAAGUUAGGACAUGUGUCAGGGGUGCCGCUAGACUCCACAAAAUCCACAGAGUCCCAGAUCUUAUCUAUUUCCAUCCCCAGCUUCUGUGCAAAAGAACAGGGCACGCCUGUCAAUGGAGUUUGCCCAAAAUAUACCUUCCCAAAACUUAGGAGAAUCUAGCUGCAGUGUGAAGCAAACCAAGGUGGACAGUGCAGGGCCAGGACUUCCAUCUUGAGAGGAGGCAUCUGAAGUCUUCAUAUUCCUGUGCUGUCAGUCUCAUUUGCUUUCCCCUUUUCACUUUAUAUUGUCAAUUCCAAAGGAAAACAUCUACAAACACUGAGGAUAUUGUAACAUAACAUCGCUCACUUCCAUUCUGUUUGCAAAUGUUUACAAGAAUGGAUUCCUCUGAAUAUGCUUGGCUUAUUUCUAGUUGCUGAUGAAUAUUCCAAAUGACACAUUUGGAUUCCUUCCAUUAAUUUUGGAUCAUUUUUAAUAAUAAAGCACAGGAAAAUUAUGGAAAGAAAUGCAAUGCAAUGGGAAACUUUUUAGUCAAAUAACAAAUGUUAAACAUUUAUAUCCUUUGUUGUCAGGGCAUUAGAUUUCAUGGUACAAUAAGCCAUGGUUUUCAUUAUUACAUUUCCAUUAUUGCUAUUGAACGUCUAAGCUCUCCUUAGAAUGAUUACUUUGUGAACUGCUUCAUCAAUACCUAACUUCUAUGAAGCACUGUGGAAUGCUUAAAAAAUAUGAGGUUCUAAUAAUAGCAGAUAACUAUUAAGUCAUCACAUUCAAAUCCUGUUGUCCUGACAUCUUAAUAAAAUUAUGCUGCUUAUGGAGAAGGGGCCAUAGAAAAUAAGCCUCCAAAGAUUUUCAUGUGUAAAGAAUGCCAACAUUUGAUUUACAUUUAUUAACUUUAGGAGGCAAAAUAAUCUCUAAUGGUACAAGACAUUGAAAAUAUGCAAUGUUGCUACGGAGUUAAAGCUGCUUCCAGUGUGACAGCAGCUGACUUAACGAGCCAGUUCCAGUAAUAAUUGAGUUUCUGUGCUUUUCUUUUAAUUUUGCUACCUGACGCUACCUAAGAGCAGUUGACUUUAUUUCAGAAUCCCAUUAGGUAGCAUUAUAAGAUCCUAUUUCCUGGGGUUUUAAAAUCUAAUUGUCAGUCAAUGCACUACAGCAAGUCUGACUUGCCUUUGAUUCUCAGGGCUCUUCGUGGUGGGAAAAAACAGAAGAAGUAUGCUCCAUCAUCCUGUCAAGCAGGUUUCUUAACAAAUUACCUUUCCUCUCAAAAGAAAACACACAGAGGCGUUUUUGUUGCUUUAACAAUUCUUAUAGUUCAUAUCUUCCUUUCUGAGCUAUUACAGGAACCAGAAACUGAACACCAGUGUCUAGACCAGACAGGCUGACAACUGAUGUCCUUAAGAUUUAUGAAGAAAUUCUGUGACAGAUCAUCUGGAUUUACAGUUGCACUGUCCUGGUAACAGCAACAUAUGCAUCUUUCUCAAGAGCUCACUUGGGCAACUGGGACUGAGACCGUCUUCCACAUAUCAUUUCCCAUUGGUUCACACAGGAGUCUGUAGCUCCAAAGGGAUCAGGAGUGUGAACUUUUCCUCAUAAAGACUAAAGUAAAAGUGGAAGAAGCUAAAUGAAUUGAAAUAGAAUCCUAAAAGCUGGGAGUAUUGUUGGAGAAGUACAAUUUAUCCAUGGGAUACAGAGACCAAACAGCAGAGAUUAACAGCCAAACACAAGGUGGUGUUUAUUUAUCAGAGUGAUUUUAAAGAAAGGAAAUUCCUAGAAAGGCUUUGUGAAGAAAAAACAAAAAGUAAAACAAAGAAAUUCACCAAGUAUUAGAAUCUGAAUAAACAUGAAAGUCAACGCUCUGUGUAUUUGAUCACUCUAGGCCUCUUCUGGAACCCUAGUGUGUGAUUAAUAAUUCCAUAAGAUCACAAAAGGCCAGUAGAAGCUUGGAUUAUAUUCUGUUGCUGGAAACAUGAACAUAAAUUAUAACAAAUUAGAGUUUUCCGUGCGAUUUCAAGACUCUCUCUUUUUAUAUUUUAUUUUAUUUAUUUAUUUUUUUUGAGGAAAAGGGAUUGCUAAAACAAGAUGUACUAUAUUCUAGGCUGGUCAUUGACUCACUUCAUAGUCUAGAGAGGGCUUGAAUUCCUGGCACUCUUCCAGCUACAGCCUGUUAGUUCCAAGAUUAAAAACAGGGGACAUUACAUCUGGCUUUCCUUAAUUUAGUGAAUUCCUCCCACAAGAACUGUAUCAGACACCUACUGCCUCAACAUACUUUUUGGAAGUUACCCUGAAAUCAGCUUUCUUUCCAACAAAGCUGUGUCCUCAUAGGCACAUAUAUGUGCUUUGACAGUGGUCAGGUUGAAAUAAAUGACUUUUGACCCAACAUCUCUGCUUUGCGCUGUAUGUUGGGUAUACUUGGAUUCGAGAUGUGGUUCAGUUCAGGUCGCCACUGCUUGCUUAUUCUAAUAUCAGAACAAAGAUUUCAUAUCUACCUCAGGAAUAUUUUCAAGACUAACACUGGAACAUGAAAGGAAAACCUGUACCUGCAUCUAAGUUUUGUACUUAGCUUCUAGGCUCUGUAGCAUAAGAAAGGAGUAGAUGUUCCACCCAUAGAUGAGUGUCCAUAGCUGCCAUCUAACAAAAACUAUUGUAAGAAUUGUCCCCCUUGAUACUUUGUAGGCAGAUUAUCUUGAGUUUCCACAUUACUACUAAAAAUUUGUUGUGAUUUCAGCAGUACUAAUAAUUCCAGCUACAUGGGGAAUCAUGUAAAACCACAGACAUGUAUCAAAUUGAAGAUAGAUGUACAUAUUAAAGUGACGCUUAGAUUCAAGGAAGAAGUAAAACUUACAAAUGCCCUCUCCAUUACAUUGGAGCCUAUGGAAAGGUAGGAGGAAAUAUUUCUGUUCUAACAAAUAUAUUUAGCCAUCACAUAAAAUUUUACAUUUAACGAUUACUCUAUUUUAGCUUUGACCCUCCAGUACCAAACGCUAAGAACAAAGACAAUAAUCAUUUGCCUGGAGAAAUUCCCAUCUACAUCUGCAGGGAACACCUGAAUGGCUGCAGGAAAGAGUGCAAGCUAAAGGAAGCUAUUAGUGUCUUCCCCAGAUCCACACAGGGGCUGAUAGAACAUGAUGUCAGAAACAUGACAAUGGCAGGCAGUAGUGACUUUGGAUACUGUUGCCAUAACACAAGCUUACAGGCAAUCUCUAAUAGUCUCUCUUUACUUCCUUCUUUUCUUGCAGAAAAAACAGCUCCUUUAAAAAAACAAAUUCCUUUAUGAGCAAACACAACGUAGAAAGUUACAUUUCAAAUAUAUUUUAUGCCAUUUAAUUAUUUUCACAGUAUGUCCUGGCUACUAAACGGAGCAAUGGAAUUUUAUACUAUAUUCUUACAUAAGGGGCUAACUAAACUAAGAUACCAGUUGGUAGAGUUAAGUGUGCUUAAAUAUCACUCAAGGCAAAUGUAUAAAAGAAAUUCCAGGUAUACAUCCCAAAUAUUCCAGUGCAGUCAGAUGAGUGAGUCUCAGGCAAAUGCUCUAAGGAUCAAUUUGUUUUCAUACUUCCAGUCUUUAGGAGAUUAAAAAAAAUUAAUACAUGUGCCUACAUGUAUUUACUUAAAUAUAUCAGUGUCAGUACUGUGACAAUGAACUUUCUUUGUAAAUUCUUCCUUAUUAUUGACUAAAUUUAUGAUAAAGGAUCAGAUAUUUGUAAACGGAGAAUGCAUUUAUUUAAAUGAAUAUUUGAAAAACACAGGCUGAAAUUUCUCAGAGCAGACAGCCUCUGUAAGUGAAUAGCAAGUAAUUCUUGCUCAUGAACAUAUAGAAAUACAUGAGUCACACACACAGACAAAAAAAAAACUAAUACAUAGGCACAAAUUAAGAAACUGUAAAAAUUAUCUAUAUCUAUAUCUAUAUCUAUAUCUAUAUCUAUAUAUAUAUUAAUUCAUGUAUGUACUCUCUCUCUCAUGUGUGUAUGUGUGUAUAUGUGUUUGCAUGUGUGUUAAUGUGUAUGAGUGAAAUGUGUGGCCAAUUGGAGAUAUUUAAGCCAGGAUGUCAUCACUGCUCACCAACAUGACAUUAGGUGAUCUGUCUUCAUCAGUAUCUUCCUGGAUUCUCCUGUCUCUGACUUUCUGGUAUUAGAUGCCUGUGUGUAUGUGUAUGUUUAUGCUUUGUAUGGGCUUUAGGGAUUUGAACUCAGGUCUUCAUGCUUGCAUGACACAUGAUUUACUGUGCUGUCUCCUAAGACCCAAACUAUAUUUUAAAUAGGAAACAUUUAAAAGUUGAAUAAAUUCUAAUAAAAGACAGGGUAUGUAUUGAUCCAGAGAAAUUGUAUGACUGUUAAAAA